CUUGCGGGCAUUUGAAGACAGACUUCUGCUUUGAAGAGGGCUGUUGCUGCUUUCAUUUAAAAUAUGGAACUUUCAUGGAGGUGACCGCAGAGUGAAGGAGGAUGUGAAAUCUUUGCCAUCAUCCUGCAGAGGAUGGAUGAGAGGACGCUGAGCAGACAUAAAGUGGUCUGGAUGAGCUGAUCCAACUAGAGAUGGCUGAAGAUCCCUCUGGACUGCAUGCCUCCUUGGAAAGCACAUCUGAAGAUGAGCAUAUCACUCCUAGAAUUUGAAAGACAUUUGAACAUGAAAUUGAAUGGGUCUGCCUCAGUAAAUAUAGGAGCAUAACAUAUAUAAUCAAAAAAUCUAAAAAUGACACAACAAAAGUUACAGGAACGCAAUCAAA
rnacentral:lncRNA from 1 species